rnacentral:tRNA from 1 species
UCUCGGUUAGCCCAGUUGGUAGAGUGCUCCAUUGGAAAUGCAGAGGUCCCUGGUCCGAUACGAGGACCAGGCG